UACGAAGGGGGGCUAGCGUUGCUCGGAAUCACUGGGCGUAAAGGGUGCGUAGGCGGGAUCUUAAGUCAGAGGUGAAAGCCUGGAGCUCAACUCCAGAACUGCCUUUGAUACUGGGAUUCUUGAGUUCGGGAGAGGUGAGCGGAACUGCGAGUGUAGAGGUGAAAUUCGUAGAUAUUAGGAAGAACACCAGUGGCGAAGGCGGCCAGCUGGGCCGUCCCUGACGCUGAGGCGCGAAGGCGUGGGGGAGCGAACGGG
rnacentral:rRNA from 1 species